rnacentral:rRNA from 1 species
UUCUAGAGCUAAUACAUGCUUAAAACCUCGACUUCGGAAGAGGUGUAUUUAUUAGAUAAAAGACCAAUGCCCUUCGGGGCUCCUUGGUGAUUCAUAAUAACUUAACGAAUCGCAUGGCCUUGCGCCGGCGAUGGUUCAUUCAAAUUUCUGCCCUAUCAACUUUCGAUGGUAGGGUAGUGGCCUACCAUGGUUGCAACGGGUAACGGACGAUUAGGGUUGGACUCCGGAGAGGGAGCCUGAGAAACGGCUACCACAUCCAAGGAAGGCAGCAGGCGCGCAAAUUACCCAAUCCCGAUUCGGGGAGGUAGUGACAAUAAAUACUGAUACAGGGCUCUUUUGGGUCUUGUAAUUGGAAUGAGUACAAUUUAAAUCCCUUAACGAGGAACAAUUGGAGGGCAAGUCUGGUGCCAGCAGCCGCGGUAAUUCCAGCUCCAAUAGCGUAUAUUAAAGUUGUUGCAGUUAAAAAGCUCGUAGUUGAACCUUGGGCCUGGCUGGCCGGUCCGCCUCACCGCGUGCACUGGUCCGGCCGGGUCUUUCCUUCUGGGGAGCCUCAUGCCCUUCACUGGGUGUGUUGGUCAACCAGGACUUUUACUGUGAAAAAAUUAGAGUGUUCAAAGCAGGCCUAUGCUCGAAUACAUUAGCAUGGAAUAAUAGAAUAGGACGUGUGGUUCUAUUUUGUUGGUUAUAGGACCGCCGUAAUGAUUAAUAGGGAUAGUCGGGGGCAUCAGUAUUCAAUUGUCAGAGGUGAAAUUCUUGGAUUUAUUGAAGACUAACUACUGCGAAAGCAUUUGCCAAGGAUGUUUUCAUUAAUCAGGAACGAAAGUUAGGGGAUCGAAGACGAUCAGAUACCGUCGUAGUCUUAACCAUAAACUAUGCCGACUAGGGAUCGGGCGAUGUUAUUAUUUGACUCGCUCGGCACCUUACGAGAAA